AACGAACGCUGGCGGCAGGCUUAACACAUGCAAGUCGAACGCAUCGCAAGAUGAGUGGCAGACGGGUGAGUAACGCGUGGGAACAUACCCUUUUCUACGGAAUAGCUCUGGGAAACUGGAAUUAAUACCGUAUACGCCCUACGGGGGAAAGAUUUAUCGGGGAAGGAUUGGCCCGUGUUGGAUUAGCUAGUUGGUGGGGUAAAGGCCUACCAAGGCGACGAUCCAUAGCUGGUCUGAGAGGAUGAUCAGCCACAUUGGGACUGAGACACGGCCCAAACUCCUACGGGAGGCAGCAGUGGGGAAUAUUGGACAAUGGGCGCAAGCCUGAUCCAGCCAUGCCGCGUGAGUGAUGAAGGCCUUAGGGUUGUAAAGCUCGUUCACCGAUGAAGAUAAUGACGGUAGUCGGAGAAGAAGCCCCGGCUAACUUCGUGCCAGCCGCCGCGGUAA
rnacentral:rRNA from 1 species